AGACAAUGUAGCUACCUAAGUUUAAAUUCAUGAAACUGAUAAAAAAAUGAUAAAGCAUUGUUUCAGAUGUGAAUGAUGGUCUCACUGAAGAGGGAAGACCCACCCUAGAUGUGAGGGGCACCAACCUAUAGGCAUAUAUCCUAGAAGAAAUAAAAAGAGAAAGAUGAAAGAAGGCUCUCUGCUUCCUGGCUGCCAUGCUAUGAACCUUUUCUCCUGGGCUGUGCCCUUCUGCCAUGCCACACUGCCUUGGAGCCUUUAACUUAUUUUCUACAAUGUAAUUGUAUCAGCAGCAGCUGAGGAGGGCCUGGAUGGCUGCAG
ensembl:lncRNA